rnacentral:tRNA from 1 species
GGAAGGGUGCCAGAGUGGAUGAAUGGAACAGUCUUGAAAACUGUCGUGGUCGCAAGGUCACCGUGGGUUCGAAUCCCACCCCUUCCGCCA